rnacentral:tRNA from 1 species
GCCACCUUAGCUCAGUUGGUAGAGCAAUGCACUCGUAACGCAUAGGUCCGCGGUUCAAUCCCGCGAGGUGGCU